rnacentral:rRNA from 1 species
AGUGAACGCUGGCGGUAGGCCUAACACAUGCAAGUCGAACGGCAGCACAGUAAGAGCUUGCUCUUACGGGUGGCGAGUGGCGGACGGGUGAGGAAUACAUCGGAAUCUACUUUUUCGUGGGGGAUAACGUAGGGAAACUUACGCUAAUACCGCAUACGACCUACGGGUGAAAGCAGGGGAUCUUCGGACCUUGCGCGAUUGAAUGAGCCGAUGUCGGAUUAGCUAGUUGGCGGGGUAAAGGCCCACCAAGGCGACGAUCCGUAGCUGGUCUGAGAGGAUGAUCCGCCACACUGGAACUUAGACACGGUCCAGACUCCUACGGGAGGCAGCAGUGGGGAAUAUUGGACAAUGGGCGCAAGCCUGAUCCAGCCAUGCCGCGUGUGUGAAGAAGGCCUUCGGGUUGUAAAGCCCUUUUGUUGGGAAAGAAAAGCAGCAGGUUAAUACCCCGCUGUUCUGACGGUACCCAAAGAAUAAGCACCGGCUAACUUCGUG